rnacentral:rRNA from 1 species
UAUUAGUUAAUUUAUAAAAAUAAUUUAUUUAUUUUAUGUUUUAGUAUUUAGUAAAAAUUAAUUUUUAAAUUUAUAGUUUAUUAGUAUUGUGAAAGAAUUAUUUUAAAUAUAAUUAAGAAUAAUAUUAGUACCUUUUGUAUCAGGGUUGAUUAAAAUAUUUAAUUUAUUUUUAAUUUCUCAAAAUUUAUAGAGUUAAUUUUAUUAUUAAGUUAUUGUAGUAAAAAUAUUUAAAAAAUAAUUUUAGUUUUGAAAUUUAAUUCGUUAUAUUAUAUUUAGUUGUUUAAGAUUUAAAUUUAAUUUAAGAUUUUAAAAGUUUAAUUUAAUUUUUAUUAUUUAAAUUUUGAUUUCAUAAAAUUUUAGGGAUAAGCUUGAAGUUUUUAUAUAAUUUUUUUUUAAUAAAAUAAUUAAUAGGAAUAGAAAUUUUUAAUUAAGUUUGUAAAAAUUUAUUAUUUUAAAAAAUUUUAAUUUAUUAUAAAAAUUAUUUAUUUAAAUUAUUAAAUUUUAUUAAUUAAUUGAUUAUUAUUAGUAAUAAUGAUUAAAUUAGUAUAUUAAUUUAUAUGUAAAUUAUGAAUUCGGCAAAAUUUAUUUUCAUCUGUUUAACAAAAACAUUGUAUUAAGAUUAAUUUAAUAUAGGAUCUGCUCAAUGAAAUUUAAAUAGCUGCAGUAUUUUGACUGUGCAAAGGUAGCAUAAUAAUUAGUCUUUUAAUUGAGGACUAGAAUGAAAGAUUUGAUGAAAAAUAAACUUUAUUAUUUAUAAAUUUAAAAUUUUAUUUUUAAGUAAAAAAGCUUAAAUUKUUUAAAGGGACGAUAAGACCCUAUAAAACUUUAUAUAUAAAUAUUUUUAUUUUUUUGGUUAAUAAGUAUUUAAAAAUUAUUAUAUAUUUUAUUGGGGUGAUAAAAAAAAAUUUUUAACUUUUUUUAAAUUUAACAUUAAUUAAUGAUUUAUUGAAUUAAAAUUUUUAAUUAAAGGAAAAAGUUACUUUAGGGAUAACAGCGUAAUUAAUUUUUAAAGUUCAAAUUUGAAAAUUAGUUUGCGACCUCGAUGUUGAAUUAAGAUUAUUUUUAGGGGCUAAAUUUUAAAAUUUAGGUCUGUUCGACCUUUAAAUUCUUACAUGAUUUGAGUUCAAACC